GCGCACGCUGGCGGCAGGCUUAACACAUGCAAGUCGAGCGGGCACUUUCGGGUGUCAGCGGCGGACGGGUGAGUAACGCGUGGGAACGUGCCCUCUGGUUCGGAAUAACUCAGGGAAACUUGAGCUAAUACCGGAUACGCCCUUUUGGGGAAAGGCUUGCUGCCGGAGGAUCGGCCCGCGUCUGAUUAGCUAGUUGGUGAGGUAACGGCUCACCAAGGCGACGAUCAGUAGCUGGUCUGAGAGGAUGAUCAGCCACACUGGGACUGAGACACGGCCCAGACUCCUACGGGAGGCAGCAGUGGGGAAUAUUGGACAAUGGGCGCAAGCCUGAUCCAGCCAUGCCGCGUGAGUGAUGAAGGCCUUAGGGUUGUAAAGCUCUUUUAUCCGGGACGAUAAUGACGGUACCGGAGGAAUAAGCCCCGGCUAACUUCGUG
rnacentral:rRNA from 1 species